rnacentral:rRNA from 1 species
UACAGAGGGGGCAAGCGUUAUUCGGAAUUAUUGGGCGUAAAGGGCGCGUAGGCGGCUUGGCAAGUGGAAGGUGAAAUCCCUCGGCUUAACCGAGGAACUGCCCUCCAAACUGCUUGGCUUGAGACCGGGAGAGGUGAGUGGAAUUCCCAGUGUAGCGGUGAAAUGCGUAGAUAUGCGGAGGAACACCGAUGGCGAAGGCAAUCCCCUGGGCCUGUACUGACGCUCAUGCACGAAAGCGUGGGGAGCAAACAGG